CCCACUUCACCUCCACCUUCUUCCCGCACCCCUCCCCCAGGUGCCAACGGAACCGGCAUCGGAUCCACCCGCCUUCCCCGGCGCCGCAAAAAGGUGCCUCCACAAUCGCCGGGCCACCACCUCCUGCCCCGUUCCACCCUCCCUCGCCCCCACUACCUUCCACGACCGACGCGCCGUAGUCCCCCGAUGCCUCCACCAACGGCGCGCGGCAGCAUCCCCCACAGCCGCCUCCCUUCUCUCCAGUGAUCGGCUACCCAAGGGCCGAUGCGCAACCAUCUCCCCCCUCCCUGGAUCCGUUAGCGAGAUCCACGCUCACCACGCCCAUGGGAUCCCGCGUUAGCGAACUCGCCAAUCUGCCGCGGCCGCCCUCCCCAAACCACGGCCGUGCCGCCCCUCUCCAGGGCACCACUGCUAACGGGCCAGCAACCGUCUCCAGCGCGCCUCCCGGCAAUGGAUCCGGGCCAGCAACCGUCCCCUGCACAGCCACGACCAACCCCCGCCGCAGGAUCCAUCCGUCAGUUGGCCCCCCUGCAUGACCACAACGCGAGCCACUCCCCCCGCCAGUCGCCGGAUCCGCAUCUCCGUCCUCCCUUCCUCCUGCGCCUCUGCGUCGUCGUCCUUGUCGGGCCCCGCGUCUACUAUCGGGCCACCCGAGGAUGCAGCCUGGCGGCGGCCACAUCAUCGUCGUCCUCGUCUUAGGCGCAUCACCGCCCGGAUCCGCACCACCAUCGAUGCCCCGUCGCGCACCUAUCCGCCUCCAGGCACUAAGGAGGAGACCAGGCAGCCUCCAUCUCCUAUCCGUUCGGCGACCGUCGCCGUGCAGCUCGGUGUCAUGCGUGAUGCGGUUCAGUGCUGGUGCUGGCGCACGGGGCUCCCCUGCUUCUUCUCCCCACCGACGAAUAGCCAACCACGCCAGCGUUUGAGAAAAAGAUAGGUGAUGCAGUCCACCGGCCUCCUCCCAUGACAAAUUUGUUUGCAGCUCGCUUGCGUGUCUCGCGACGCGUAGGUACGGGAGCAGAGAAGCUGAUGGCGGUGCGGCAAGGAGGGUUGUUGACGCCAUCGCUGGUGGCCUCCGCUGGCUCUGUAUCAUUGUUGGAGUUUCUAGAAAUUUCAGAUUCAGAUAUGCAGUGCAGUUUGCAGUUUUUUGUGUCUUCAGAAUUGCCGUGAAGUUCAGUUUGACUGAGUUUUUCCGAUGCAAAAAAUUGCUAAAUUUGGUGUAGUGGACGGCAGUGUGUGUGUAUGUGUGUCACUUGUCAGUGCAGUGCAGUUUUGCUUCAGUUUUGGUUAUUUCAGUGAGUGUGUGCAAUAUGCGACGUGCACACAUGCAGUGCAGUGCGCUUCAAUUA